UGACGUCUUCUAAUGAAAUUUGAUAGUUUUGAGCUCAAUAAUAUAGCUCUCUUUUCUCUUGAGAUUUCUUCAACACAGUGUAGUUCGAGGGGAGGGGGUUCCGGCUGUCUUGCCAUCGACCCUCCCCCUUUUCCUUCUCUUUAGAAAGUUUUUUAAGUUCUUACAUUCUUUUCAUUUUUUUUUUCUUUUUAGUUCUCUUCAGUCUCCAAUAUGGAGUCAUAGUACCCCUCUUCUAGAUGGGGCUUUUAUUGAGUUUCUAUGGGAACUUUCAUAUUGUAAUAGACUCCCUUGUUGUGUGUUGUGAAGCUCUUCGGAACACUAUCUGUUGGCAGAUUCGAAGGUGGGCACCAUAUGGGUCACUUGUGCCUAACCUUUCUCGGUUCGUCUGGACAUGGUCCAAGUCCCUGGUCUUAUUUGGUAGUCACUGCAUUUUCUUGUUCUCCAUAUGGGUCUGAAAGGGUGAGCAUGAAGGCUUUUGGGUCAAGUGGGUGCUCAUGCACUCCAUCCGAUGUUGAUAUGUAUCUCCCUGCAUGUAAGUUGUUCAAGCUACCUCGCUGUUUCUCCUUCAAAUGCUUGUGUUGUUGGUGAAAGUCGGCAACUACGAUUGAUGAAUCAAGAAGGUUACUAAUGAAUAUGGUCUUCAGGUCAACCCGGUUAGUCUAGGGAUUCAUGUUCCUUUGGGCUUGGGUUGUAAAAAAAAAAGAAAAUUAUUCGCUCUACUUCAUGUAUGAUUGUAUGUACAUUCUUAUUCUGAUACUCAUACAACUCAACUCAACUAAGUCUUUAUCCCAAAAAUUUGAGGUUGGCUAUAUGAUUCUCUUUCUCCACUCUAAACGAUUUUGGGUUAAAUCCUCAGAAAUGUGUAAUGCUUCUAAGUCAUGUUGUACUACUUUCCUCCAAGUCAGUUUAGGUUUACCCCUUAUUUUCUUUCUAUCCUCUAAACUAAUGUGUUCUACUUAUCUAACUGAGGCCUCCGUAUGUCUAUGCUCCACAUGAUCAAACCACCUCAAUCUCCCUUCUCUCAACUUAUCCUCAAUUGACACUACUUCUACAUUUUCUCUAAUACUCUCAUUACGGAUUUUAUCUAGUCUAGUAUGGCCACUCAUCCACCUUAACAUUCUCAUCUCCACAACUCUUAGCUUAGACAUAUACGACUCCUUCAGUGCUCAAUACUCACUACCAUAUAACAUGGCUGGUCGUAUGGCUGUACCGUAAAAUUUUCCUUUCAACUUAUUAGAAAUCUUGCGAUCACAAAAAACUCCCGUGGCACGUCUCCACUUCAACCAUUCGGCUUUAAUCCUAUGACUACCAUCCUCUUCACAUUCUCCAUCUACUUGAAGGAUUGAACCAAGAUAUUUAAAGUGAUUACUUUGGGACAGUAUCACUCCAUCCAAACUAACUCCUUCCCUAUCACCAGUUUGGCAUUCACUGAACUUACAAUGUAUAUAUUCUGUCUUCGUUCUACUUAACUUAAAUCCCUUUAACUCUAUAGUACUUCUCCAAAACUCUAGCUUUCUAUUGACUCAUUCUCGCAUCUCAUCUAUCAGAACUAUAUCAUCCUCAAAUAUCAUGCACUAAAGGAUACUCUCUUGUAUAUGUUUCGUCAAUUCAUCUAAAACUAAUGUAAAAAGGUAAGGGCUUAUAGCUGAACCUUAGUGUAAUCUAAUUGAGAUAAGAAAAUCUCUUGUGUCCCCUCCCACUGUGAGCACAAUAGUAGUUGUUUCUUCGUACAUAUCUUUUAACACUUGUAUGUACCUAAUAGAUACCCUCUUUUGUUCUAACACUCUCCAUAAGACAUAUCUUGGAACACUAUCAUAAGCCUUUUCCAAAUUGAUAAAAACCAUAUUGUAACAUCCUCACUUUACGUAGUCUGUAUGUUCCACUGUUCUGGCGGCUGAUGUUUGCCCAGACUGUCAGAAUAUCUGGAACUACAUUUUGGUGAUAGUAAGGAGACAUAAAAUGAUGGGAUACAAGAUAAAAAAAAAUACAAGAAAAAUUAAGAGUAAAUAAAAGAGACGAAGUGCAAUUAGGUUAAACGUGCCGGAAUCGUAGCGAUGGAUGACUGCACUGAAAAGUUACGGCGAGGACUGUUGACUAGCUCUGGACAGCAGGGAACCCUGAGAAACAUUUUCGAAACCUAAUUAAAGGUCUACUGAGGUAUAAUUGACAUUGAAAAUGUCAAAGAAAAUUAGUAAGUCAGUAUAAACGAAAAACGAAAAUUAAAAAAAUCGGCGAGUCAAGAAGUUAAUCAGUUGUUUCGAAAAAUUCGAAAUACAACUCGAAGAGGAGCAUUUUGAUCAUUUGACACCUCGAGUGGACUUUUAACCUAAAUGUCAGUAGUAUUAAAUUUUGAAAAUCACAUGAAAAAUGAAAUUAUAUAGGAAAUGCAAUUAAGGGAAAUUAUGAGGACAUAAUUAAAAUAAUCAUAAGUUUAAUUAUUCUAAUAUUAACCUAAAGUGAGUGGCAUAUAUUAUAUUCAUAAACCUUAAGUAGUGGAGUAUAUAUAGACUCAAGUGGACAGAAUUUAUCACCAAAACAAUUCAUUUCUUCAUCCCAAUCACCAAUAGCCGAAAAUGAAUCCCAAAUUUUCCUCCAUGGCCGCACCUUGCAUGGAGCUUUCUCUCUCCAUGAUCAAGCCAUCAUUUCUUCAAGAGUUCUUCAUCAAAGUUGCUCUACACAACUUGGGAAGUAUUUAGGCAGCAAAAAGAAGCAAGAUUGGUGAGGUUUAGCAAGCUCCAAAUAAAGGUACUGAAGGUAAAACCAGUAGACAGUUGACUGAGAUUUUUGGAGUCCAGAUCUGUAGAAGUGUCAGAAGAGUUCAAGGUUGUCACCUCCUCAGCAAUACAUGUAGAUAGGGCUCACAUUAAGCAUAUAAUGUAUUUUGUAUAUUUUAAUUAUUUCUUAUGUUGCAAUUCAAAUUAAGAAAUUGUAUUGAAUAAAUCUGUGAUUUAAUUAAACUGUAUAACAUGUAGACUGUGAUUUUAUGCAAUUAGUUGCAAAUUAUGUACAUUGAUGAAAUUGAGCAUUUUAAUAUAAGAGCUGAAUGUGAUUAUGAA